GUGCCAGCCGCCGCGGUAAGACGUAGGAGGCGAGCGUUGUCCGGAAUCAUUGGGCGUAAAGAGCACGCAGGCGGUUUGGCAAGUCGGAUGUGAAAACCAGAAGCUCAACUCCUGGCCUGCAUCCGAAACUGCCCGACUAGAGGUAGGUAGGGGAGAUCGGAAUUCCUGGUGUAGCGGUGAAAUGCGCAGAUAUCAGGAGGAACACCGGUGGCGAAGGCGGAUCUCUGGGCCUUACCUGACGCUCAGGUGCGAAAGCUAGGGGAGCGAACAGGAUUAGAUACCCCCGUAGUCC
rnacentral:rRNA from 1 species